GACGAACGCUGGCGGCGUGCUUAACACAUGCAAGUCGAGCGGUAAGGCCCUUCGGGUACACGAGCGGCGAACGGGUGAGUAACACGUGGGUGACCUGCCUCUAGCUCUGGGAUAAGCCUGGGAAACUGGGUCUAAUACCGGAUAUGACUCCACGGCGCAUGUUGUGGGGUGGAAAGCCUUGUGCGGCUAGAGAUGGGCCCGCGGCCUAUCAGCUUGUUGGUGGGGUGAUGGCCUACCAAGGCGACGACGGUAGCCGGCCUGAGAGGGCGACCGGCCACACUGGGACUGAGACACGGCCCAGACUCCUACGGGAGGCAGCAGUGGGGAAUCUUGCGCAAUGGGCGAAAGCCUGACGCAGCGACGCCGCGUGAGGGAUGACGGCCUGGUUGUAA
rnacentral:rRNA from 1 species